rnacentral:lncRNA from 1 species
CCAGUCUUCAGGAAGGAGUUAAUGGCCUUAUAAGAACGCCCUGGGGGUACUGGCAGAGUAUUUGCCUAGCAUGUGUGAGGCGCUGGGUUUGAUCCCCAGCUCCUCAAAAAUAAAGAACAAAUUAAUUAAAAAGGCCUUAUGGGAGUGGGCUCACUCUUUUACUUUUCUGUUUCUUCUGUUGCUCCUCUCUGAAGGGUGCAGCAUUUAAGGAGCCAUCUGGAAUUGAAGGCUGGGCUCUCACUAGACACUAAACGUACCAGCACUAACUGAGGAAUCAAUUUCUGUUCUUUAUAAAUUACUCAGUCUCAAGUAUUGUAUUAUAGCAGCACAAAACGGACUAAGACAGUCGCUCUGUAGACUCAGCCAGGAUUAUGAACCACGUCAAUCCACAAACAUGCAUUUAUUGAUAACUUGGAUUAUAUUGGCAUUUUAAAUUACAAAUUAUUUUAAAAAUGUAGAAAAGAACAAAUAAUGAGUAUCCUUUUUGCUUUACUCAAAGCAAAAUUUAACAUUUUGCCAUAUUUCAUAAAAAAGUUAAAUAAACCCUCAUACCAAUCCUUGCCCUUAAGUUCCAUAGUUGAGAGCACUGUUGUGAAGAGGAUUGUGAAUAUUUGUUAUUUUUCAGUUAAAUGUGUUCAUGUACAAUCUGUAUGUUUAUUGUUCCUGCCUUUAAAAAAUAUGCAUAAGUAAUAUCAUUGAAUAGGUCUUUUUAAAAGAUGGUUUUUAACACUUUGAGCUUCAUUCAUGUUAGUAAAUAGGUGUGAUUAGUUCAUUUUGACUACUACAUAGUAUUUCACAUAUUAAUAUGCUGUUAUUUAUGGACACUGAGGUUGCUGUGGGUUUUUCAUUACAAAUAAUGCAGAAAUAAGCAUGCUAGUUCUUUGUCAUAUGGGCAAUAGUUCUAUAGAGCUAUAGUUUUCAAACUGGGGAGUAUUCCCUCAGAGCAGAGACUUUAAUUUCACCUCCCAUAUUCUUUCCAUAGUUGUUCUGCCUAGGGAUAAAUUUUUGAAGGUGUAGGUAUCUUUUCCUAAUCACCCAACCCCCACAUUUCAAAAGGAACUCUACCUCUCACCCAGUUCCAGAUUAACUGCAGUGCAUAAUACUAAGGUGUAUAAAUUUCUGGAGCCCCAAAGAGAUAAUUUAAAAUUAUUGGGGUCAGUGGUCAAAAAGUGAAUAAUUGAUUCUCUGAUUUCUUUUAACCAGUUGGCUUAUCUAAAAUAAUUUUAAUGGUAGAUGAGUUUUACCUUUCCCCCUGUCAUAUGGUCAGAAGUUCAAAGGAGUGCCAUUGCUAUCACAAUAUUUUUUUAUUUACUUGUUUAUGUGAAAAAAAAAUUAACACUUAAAUUUAGUUCUAACACCUAUAAUCCCAGCUACUUGGGAGGCUGAGGAAGGAGGAUAGCAAAUUCAAGGCCAGCCUGGGCAACUUAGUGAGACUCUAUUUCAAAAAUAAAAGGGGGGCUGGGGUUGUGGAUCAGUGGUAGAGUGCUUGCCUUGUAUGUGGAAGGCACUGGGUUUGAUCCUCAGCACCACCCACGUAAAGAUAAAGUGAAGGUAUUGUGUCUAUCUGCAAUAAAUAAAUGACUGACUGAAUGAAUGAAUGAAUAAAAAGGUCUGAGAGUAGCAGAGUGGCAAAGGACCAGUGGGUUCAAUCCUCA